rnacentral:rRNA from 1 species
GACAGAGGGUGCAAACGUUGUUCGGAUUCACUGGGCGUAAAGGGUGCGUAGGUGGUGAGGUAAGUCGGAUGUGAAAGCUCGGAGCUCAACUCCGAAAUGGCAUUGGAAACUACCUUGCUCGAGGGUUGGAGGGGGGACUGGAAUACUUGGUGUAGCAGUGAAAUGCGUAGAUAUCAAGUGGAACACCAGUGGCGAAGGCGAGUCCCUGGACAACUCCUGACACUGAGGCACGAAAGCUAGGGGAGCAAACAGG